CAGCAGCCACGGUAAUACGUAGGUGGCAAGCGUUGUCCGGAAUUAUUGGGCGUAAAGGGCUCGCAGGCGGUUUCAUAAGUCUGAUGUGAAAGCCCCCGGCUCAACCGGGGAGGGUCAUUGGAAACUGGGAAACUUGAGUGCAGAAGAGGAGAGUGGAAUUCCACGUGUAGCGGUGAAAUGCGCAGAGAUAUGGAGGAACACCGGUGGCGAAAGCGGCUCUCUGGCUUGUAACUGACGCUGAGGCUCGAAAGCGUGGGGAGCAAACAGGAUUAGAUACCCCUGUAGUCCCUGUCUCUUAUAC
rnacentral:rRNA from 1 species